rnacentral:rRNA from 1 species
AGCAGCCGCGGUAAUUCCAGCUCCAAUAGCGUAUAUUAAAGUUGUUGCAGUUAAAAAGCUCGUAGUUGAAUUUCGAGACCGGCUUACUGGUCGUGCUAUUGUACGUACUGGUAUAAUCGGUUUCUCCUUUCUGACGAACUUUAAUGCCAUUAAUUUGGUGUUUUAGGGAAUCAGGACUGUUACUUUGAAAAAAUUAGAGUGUUUAAAGCAGGCUCACGCUUGAAUACAUUAGCAUGGAAUAACGGAAUAGGACGUUUGAUUCUAUUUUGUUGGUUUCUAGGAUCGACGUAAUGAUUAAUAGGGAUAGUUGGGGGCAUUAGUAUUCAAUUGUCAGAGGUGAAAUUCUUGGAUUUAUUGAAGACUAACUACUGCGAAAGCAUUUGCCAAGGAUGUUUUCAUUAAUCAAGGACGAAAGUUAGGGGAUCGAAGACGAUCAGAUACCGUCGUAGUCUUAACCAUAAACU